GGGCGUUUAGCUCAGUUGGCUAGAGCAUCUCGUUUACACCGAGAGGGUCGGCGGUUCAAGUCCGUCAACGCCCAC
rnacentral:tRNA from 1 species